CCUACGGGCGGCUGCAGUGGGGAAUAUUGCACAAUGGGCGCAAGCCUGAUGCAGCCAUGCCGCGUGUGUGAAGAAGGCCUUCGGGUUGUAAAGCACUUUCAGCGGGGAGGAAGGCGGUGAGGUUAAUAACCUCAUCGAUUGACGUUACCCGCAGGAGAAGCACCGGCUAACUCCGUGCCAGCAGCCGCGGUAAUACGGAGGGUGCAAGCGUUAAUCGGAAUUACUGGGCGUAAAGCGCACGCAGGCGGUCUGUCAAGUCGGAUGUGAAAUCCCCGGGCUCAACCUGGGAACUGCAUUCGAAACUGGCAGGCUAGAGUCUUGUAGAGGGGGGUAGAAUUCCAGGUGUAGCGGUGAAAUGCGUAGAGAUCUGGAGGAAUACCGGUGGCGAAGGCGGCCCCCUGGACAAAGACUGACGCUCAGGUGCGAAAGCGUGGGGAGCAAACAGGAUUAGAUACCCCUGUAGUC
rnacentral:rRNA from 1 species